UCCCUCAUAGCCUAGUCGGUAAAGAAUCUGCCUGCAAUGCAGAAGACCGGGGUUCAAUUCCUGGGUCGGGAA
rnacentral:tRNA from 1 species